UCGAGGAGCACAGAGAAUUCCGCGAGCUCUCGUGCUACUCGGUCGAAUGCCUGGGCAGGGCGCUGGAGCCGCGAGGCGACGACAACCCGAGAUGG
rnacentral:ribozyme from 1 species